rnacentral:lncRNA from 1 species
AUGCCUAGUGAAUGGCGAUUUGAGGGGGAGUAAGAAAAUUUCAGAAAAUCCAAAAACAUUAGAAAAUUUGAAAAAGUCAAAAACAUGAUAAAAUCAAAAAUGAGUUUUUGUUACAUAAAAGAGGAAAUGAUAGUACAUCAGUGGACUAUCACGACACGCUAAAGAAUUGGAAAGUCAAAAUGUGAUAAACGAUCUUACUGCGGAUGUGUCAGUAGAUUUUCGCACAUUUAGUAAAUUGAAACGAGAUAUAAACCUAAAUCAAACUUGCUUGAUUCGUGGGUAACUAUUCUUGAAUAUAUGGGUAAUCCUCCCAUGCAACCUACGCUUGUGAAAAUUCUGAAGUGAUCAUCGGGAUCAGUCAAUCCGUUAAACUUUCCAACUGUCGGAGGUAACUUCUCUCUUGAAAGUGGCGCAAUUUUGGAAUGAACUUUGAAUGUUCCGCAGCUUCAGCUGGUCGAUAAGCGAGGCGGAAGUCUCGCUCUGCCUCCUCGGUGUACCCUGCGUGCUGUCUUGGUUUGUAGUAUUCAUGGUUCUUCUGCAAGCGAUUGAAGACUGAUGAACCCUCAUCAUCCUCCCAAGUUGGAUCGUUCGGGUCAGUAUCUUCCCAUUCAUUGUUCAUGUUGCGCGGCGUGAGCCGGCUAUGGACAGGACCUCUUUGAAGGUGUGAUGGAUAGUCAUAGUAGCUUUCUGUCUCUCCCCGUGUAUCGCGCGUGUCAUGCACGCUUAGUCGUCUGGUAGGGGGAGGUCUAUUAGCUCUGCCUUGGAUGUUUUGCUGUGGGGGUAUCUGGCGCGCCCCCUGACUCUGAACCUGGGGAGUAACCAAGGACGGUUCUGCCGUUAAGACUGCUUGCUGUGUGAUCAGAGAUUGAUACACCGCGUUAAUGGUGGCAAUAUUUUUGGCGUACCAUGAGGCUGGCUUUCGCCCUCUGGUAGUCCUAAUAGUGCCGAAACGUUCUGAGGUGGAGGCGGGUUUGAAGGUCCCUCGCCAUUGUUUCCUGGGGUCACCGUCUGAGUGAUGCGGGUGAUGCUCCCGCGCGGUCCCCCAGUGUUGGUUACUUCGAUUUCGCCAAUCUCUUCAAUGUGUUGGGGUUGGACGUUUUGAUUACCCUCGCCCAACACCGCAUUAGAGUUUGCUCCGAAAGCAAACUCGGGAAUGAUUCCUUGACCAGCCAUGAUCGAAGGAAGAAAAAACGACAAACUCAGAAAAAAGAAGAUGAAAGUGGUUGUAGAAAACCGGUGGGCGCCAAUGAAGAAACACGGAACUAAUUAUGGGACUAAGCAGUUGGGUUUAUGUUUCUGCCAUAAGGGUUAAUCUUCUAUUGGCUUUCUGAGCUUCGUCCUGAUCGUCUAAAUCUUGCAAAAUAGAACACCGUUACUCGUUAAGAGGGGAAUAUGGGGGUUUCCCUCUUAACCGGGCUCCGGCGUGAGAAUAAGCGACUACUUUGGGGAGAUAAGUAAGUAUUAGGAGUGAGAGAAGAGGGAAUGGAAUGUUUAACCUGUGAAGUGAGGCCUCUAUUUAUAGUCGGAGAAGUGUAAGAGGAUGUGGGCCGAUGGGCCUUGGGCGAGAGGAUGACAACAUUGCGGAUAUGCUCUUUGUCUCACUGGUGUCGACCGUUAGUGGCUUCUAGAAGUCCUUCGGUGCUGACGCACCUUGAUUGGAGCCACGUGUCGCUGUUGUCGGCCUUGCUGUCCUUCUGCCAUUAGCAGGCAAGUGGAGAUCGUGGGGCAGGUGUCUCUGCUUUUUGAUUGGUGCCACGUAGGCGUCCUUAGGUACUUUUUGUCUCCUGCAUGUCAGACGAUCGUGGAGCACGAUUGAGCAGGGCCUGGAGGAUGCGGAUUGGCUCCUUUUAUCUGCCACUUGUACCUUUUGUACCUUCUAAACUUGGUCUUGCGCUACAACCUUUAUGCAACCCUUGCUGAGCACGGAACUAGCUUGCGUAAUUGUAGUUUCCUUUUUGCUGGACCUCGUGCCCUCUUAAUGGAAUGUGACGUAGCUCGCGCGAGGUUGCCAUUAAAAGAAUUGUUGAGUAAGGAGUAUGGCCUUGCGCGCAGCCUUGAUGAAGGCUUGCGCGGCUUUUUUGGGGCCAUACCCCUUCAAAUAUGAAAUGAUAAUAUAAUAUAGUAUAUUGUAUUUGUAUAGUAUAAUAUAGUACGAUACUGUUUACUUUAGUGUGGUAUUGUAUAAUUACAACAACAAUUGAUAGUAGUAAUAAUAAUAAAAAUAUUGAACUCACUAUUUUCAUAGAAAAAUUGGCAGGGCCGGCUCAACCAUUUUAGUGGCCUAAGGUGAAGUAAAAGUUUGUGGCCGCCCC